ACAACAAAGGUAAAGUAUGUGGGCACCCAUGAAACUCCAUGGUGCAUUCAUGUGCACCUCCUAAAUCUAAUGGUACAUUCAAUUAACCUCGUAAACUCUGAGAAACUCAAACUGUUGUUGCAAAGUACCCUUCUGCCAUUUAAUGGCUCUUAUUAUGAGAUCGCCUUA